GGAGAGGAACGGGUGGUCGCGGGUUUUCAAAACCCGAGGAAAGUCCGGACUCCUAGGGCAGGGUGCUGGGUAAUACCCAGGAGGAGCGAUCCUCGGAAAGGGCCACAGAAACUUCAAACCGCCUGGCGUAAUUUUUUUGCCAGGCAAGGGUGAAAAGGUGAGGUAAGAGCUCACCAGCGCUGGGGUGACCCAGCGGCUCGGUAACCCCCACCUGGAGCAAGGCCAAGCAGGGGUUGGGUGGCCCGCCCUAUCCCCCGGGUAGGCCGCUUGAGGAGGACCGAAAGGUUCUCCCUAGAUAGAUGACCACCCUCGACAGAAUCCGGCUUACAGUUCCUCUCCCCCA
rnacentral:RNase_P_RNA from 3 species